UAUAAGGGCAGCCAUGGAAGGGAAGGCAUCUCUUGGGCCUUAGCUGCUUUCUGGGGAGGAAUGCUGUAUUUCUAGAGAGCGCUUCUGCCAGUGGGGUAUCCUUCUAAAUAUACACACACUCCACGUUAUUUUCAUGUGCAUUCCCUGAAGGAUGUCUGCAAGCUCUCUCUCAGUCAGUGAUGGAGCAGCAUAAGGGCCAGCAGUGCACUUUGUGGGAGGACGACAACAGGGCACUGCCACUUAUAGGAGUACAAACUUCCCACUGCAGCCAAAACAGCAUGAUGGUCUUGGAGGAGGCUGCCCUGCUUGGCUGAGAAGAUGACUCAUGAAAAUACAACUUUCAGAGCAGCAGCGGGACCUCAGCCUGGCAGUGCCAUGCCCUGAGCAGCAAAGCAAGGCGGGAUCCUCAUGCCAACCGUGUCAUCUGAGGAUGAGUGUGUGUGUGUUGGAGAAAGAAGCAUUGAGAAUUCAAGCUGAAAUGCUGCCUGCUUUGCACUCUGUGAUUCCUGGCCACUUAUAAGGGGAGAAUCAUGGAAUGGAAGACUUCAGAAUGCUCUAAAUCAUAGCUGGGUUGUAUAACGGACAAAGAAGUGAGAACAUGAAGUGCCACUGGCACCAGUCCUUGGUUCAGAUGCAUUUUUAAUGGUCUCUGCUGCUCUGACCCCCACUCCCAGCUCAGAAGGAGUUCAGAGGGCUAGAAAGGUUCAAGAGACAAAGGACGUAGCCUUCGCGUGAGGAACAGCAAAGUGACUGGGGAUUGUCAACUGGGGAAACAGCAAGGGCAGUACAGGAGGGGUCUGUUCAAGUGCAAGAAGCCUGAUGGAGGAUGAGUGGAAGGGGAUGGACCGUUUUCUAUCCCUAUGAAGAAUGAGGAGGAACCAGAUGAUGCUAGGAGGAGCAAGAAAAACCAAAGGAGUUGGUUCUGUAUCGAUCAAACAGUAGAGGAAAUAUCAGGAGUUUAUACUGAAAAUGAGCCAAGAUCACAGAAGAGGUACACCAAACAUACACUGGGUGUGGCAGUCCCAGAGUUUUAAGGCAUGGAAGUCUGGGUGGAUGAGGGAAUAUUUUUGGAUACAGUUUCCUAUCUUUUAUAUUCUAGGCAUUUUCCUUUGCUCUCUUCUUGGUUACAAGACUCUGAGUUGGGUGGACUUCUUCUGACUGAGUAAAACUGUUCCUACAUGCUCUGUGUUUAACGAAAUCACUGGUUCUCAUUGGAAAUCUGA